rnacentral:lncRNA from 1 species
GUCUCCAAGGCAUGUCCAAGCAUAGCUUCAUGCACAUCACUGUGCACCUAUACAUAUAAGGCGGACACAGUAUAUGGUGUAUGUGCCGAUAACGGAUGCUGGUGCGUAGUCUGCGUGAUACCACCUGCAGCUCAAUCUGCGUCUGCAGCCCAGAUUGCGCCUGCGGGGAAUUAAAGGAUAUCGCUUGCUUCCCUUUCUGCCUAAAUAGAAUAAAACAAUGUCUAAUUAAUGUAUUUUUCUCGUACCGACAACAUUGUAUCGGUGUAAGGACCUGCGAGGCAAAAUAACAUCCUAUUAAUAUUGAGCGCUCUUUGGCGAAAUGCAUGAUUAAUCAAUUGGACACUAUAGAGGAUGUAUAAAUAUCCUUUCAUUGCGAGUGGCCAUGAAAAUACGUUUGUGGUUUUUUUUUCUCCAUGUUGAGAACAUUACCAAACCAUUGGAACCGGUCCUCCAUGCAAGUUGCAUGUGGAUGGGAGAUUCACAGCCAAGAUAGUGAAUAACCAGCUCCAUAAGCAACCUUGUUCUGAUCUCGUCAAAACUAUCAAACCCAUCACUUCACACCAUAAACCUGGCAAGCCGGUUCAAAUCUGGUCGAGAAGAAGCCCUUGGGUCCUCGGUGGUCGUCUGAAAGGCAACUUGAAUCACAAAGGGAGUGUCCCUGACGGACCUGCAGGGUCUGAAGUGACGAUCAUCAGCAUGGCGGAUCGAUCAUGAGAUGAAUGCUAAAGCGGCAAGCUAACAUUUGGCAAACGUUGGGUGAAGACAACUGAUGAAAAGUACCCACACGGAUAAUCCAUGCUAACCGAGGCCAGCAGCCGCAUGCAUGGCCAGCACGAGACCUUGGUGCACUAGUAGAAAAAGGUCCAUUUGUCCCGGUUCCAGAGGCCCUUCUGUCCUGGUUUUGGACCCGGGACUAAAGCCCAUGACCUUUAGUCCCAAUUCUCUUACGAACCGGGACAGAUGGGCCUCCAUGUGGCCUCUCCGCCGAGCCCGGGCAGGAGGGCCUUUGUUCCCGGUUCGUAACCCCAACCGGGACCAAAAAGUGUCCACGCGUCAGCAGCUCAGGAGCUGGGGCUUUUGUUUUUUUUUUGAAGGGGGGAGGUUGGGGGUUCUGGAGUCGUUAAUUGGGCCAGACAGCCCAUCUAAGGAAGCCACAGGAGACGGUCGACGGAGCCCAGUCGCGCGAGUGGAUCGAGCACCAAGAUCCCUACCGAGGCGAGCGAGGAGGAGCGCGAGAAUUGAACACGACGCCCUUCAUCCGAGGUUGCAAGGGAAGCUGAUCCAGCCGACGAGGGAAUCCAGCGGACAUGCCGGAUGCGGAUGAAUCAGAGGCCCAGUCGAUCCGUCUAUGAAGUGGGAAGGGGGACGCGGGCGAUGAUGUUCGGCAACCCAUCUGUUGGGAACUGAUCGCAAUCGUACUUUAGUUUCUAAGAUCACAUUCAUGGCGAUUGUUGUGCCCAUCCUUUCCGCUGUCGAGUGGUACUUCUAUAUUUUUCCUCCCAUAACAAUCCUCGGUCACCCUCUCUACUCUGACAUCACAAGCAUCUUUCAGCAUCAUGCUCUGGUAUUACUUAUGCAUGAUUCGUGAAGAUUUGUCAUUGAGGUUUACAAUCGUUCAUUAUUAUACUUGUUCUUUUAGAUUUAUCAUUGUGCCCUACAUGAGUCUCUGUCAAAAUUUGCAUGUGUUAAUUCUGUAUGUAUGCAAUUUGAUAUUUUAAAAUACUAACAUUUGUCCACUUUGUCCUAAAGUAGUUUUUGCUGCCUGGAGGUGAGCAAAGCGAAGGUAUCCCAUUAUCAUGAUUCAGAGGACUCAUGUUAUUCUCUUUAUUGUUAGUGCAACCGACUCCGGUUUAUAUCUCUUCUUGGAAUAAAAAAAUGCAUAUAUGGACCUGACUUCUUAUGUAGCUAUGUUCAAUCAACACAUCAGCAUGUUUUUGUUGGGCUGCAGACAUCCCCGUUCUGCGAUAGGUGCUACAUAGGGAAUUAGGAUUUUACAAAAUUUGCAUACAGAAAUCUUCGGAAUUAAAACAUGUAAAUGUGGACAAGUAUGAAAGAAUACAAAAGACAACAUUUUUAUUUUCAAGUUAUAAAGUGGAAUCCAUAGAUUACAAAGGAAUGUUAUCUCCUAAAAGUGAAUAAUAACAAGACAUCCGUUCAUUCAAAUUUGUGAAUAUUUCUCAAGAUGGGUAAGAUUGACUUUCUCAGAUAGAGUGCGGUAUUGUGACGGUCCCUUUGACUACAUACAUGUUUGUCUCUUUGUUGUGAACAAGCAAGACCUGGAAGAACCAACCUAUUUGUUUAAAUUUCGAAAUCUUGGUGAUGUUGUUUUUCCUUCUUUGCGUAUACUUCUCCUAUUGUUUUGGCGACAUACACUUCAUUGCUAAUCUGCCUUUCAAUGACUAUAUCCUUUUUGGCUGAUAGUCCUCUUAAACCUUUAAAUCAGUUUUUUUAACUGGUGCUCAAUAUAAUGGAUUGUAAUGGUAAGCUGCUUAAUAUAAGAGCUUGGUAACUUGACUUUACGAAUUUAUCGUCCCUUUUUUGAAAUAUUUACUGUCAAUUCUGAGGUGGUGGGCAGCCUAGUGGAGGCUUAGGUAUGUUGAUGGUCCAUCUCCCUUGAUUCCAUUAUUUACAUCCUCUCGACCGCUAGCUCUCACUAGCUACCUGCAGGCACAUAUUUCGCCUAGCCACGCCACACAUGGUGCUCGAGAACUGAUGCUGGUGAGCAUAUCGUUGUGUACAUUCUACUCAUGGGUAAGAUUUUUUAGUUGAAUACAGUUUUGCAAACAGAUUACUUAUGUAUGUUUCUUAGAAAACAUUGCUCCUUGAAUAAUACCCCAUGAUACUUAAACAAGCUCUAUGUCGUUUUUACUAGAUCAGUUUGGUGGUGAUUUAUAUUGAGGAUUUGAUCAUUACUCAUGCAUGCUAAAAGAUUUAUCUGACAUCCAAUUUUGUUCAGGUACAUUUCAUUCUUUUGUACAUUGAAAACUAUUGUUGGUAUAUUUGAUAGCUAGACUGUGCACAUAAGUGUAGAGGCCAUUAGUUAUGUUUUUCAAGCUAUGUUGGUAUCUGUUUGAAGAUUAAUUCCAAUCUGAUAUGUUCCAUUGUCAUCUGACAUUUAAUAGUAAAAUAUACUAUUGAAAAUUAGUUAAAUAUACAUUGAAUAGUUCAAAUAAAGAAAUGCCAUGUCAGAUAAGUUAAGGUGACUACAUAUUUGUCAAUGGCUUUCUCAAAGGUAGGUUUCAAAUCAGAUGUCAUUCAAAACUCAUCCUUGAAUUACCUUUAUACUUGAUUAACUGGACUACAUCACGGAGUUGUCGUCUUUGAAGUUUGAUGAAAUAAGGCCCAUGGUUGUUUUCCACUCUUAAAUUGCCUUUAGUUUGAAAUAAGGCCCAUGGUUGUUUGCUUUCCACUCUUAAAUUGCCUUUUUGACAGCUACAAAAAACUAUACUGAUAGGAGUUUUGAUUUCCCUUCUUCCUGUACUUUUUCGAUAUCACAAAGAAUUGUUCACGCCUUAUUUGUCCAUUUCGUGUUGACAUUUCAACUUGACAAUUACGAGAGCAGCAUGAUUUUAUUUAUGAUUAUUGCUGUUGUAGAGGUGUUAAAUAUAUAAAGUAUGAAAGUCGUAAUUUCAUGAAAGUACUUUGUAAUAUCAGCUUCCUUUGCCUGAUUGAUGUUGCUUUACAGUCUUAUUUGUCAGCAUUUUGUUCAGCGAGUUAAUGCUUUUUCCAUGCUGUGAGGUCAUAUAUGUUGCAGUCACAAAGCACCAAUGAUUUUUCCAUAGACACAAAAGCAAUGCUCCGGCUAUAGCAUUAAUUACACACACUCGUAUUUCCUAGGCUGCUGUAUAAAUAUGUACAAAAGGAUUGCUAUAUCAAAUACACGUCUAUGAUCAGUGCGUAUUAUCUUCCUUCUGACAAUGCUUACCAUGCUUAUAGUAAUCUACAUGGGUCUGGUUCCUUUUAAUAUCAAUAUUUGUCAUCAGAUUCUGAUAUACAUUGUUUCAGUCCAAAAUGUACAGGGUGCACAUUUUCUACAUUUAAUUUCGACUAAGACUUUCUUUUCUUGGUGGUAUGAUCACUUAUUAGUAAUUUGAUGGUUAUCUAUAUAUGUUGAAUUUUCAUAGCAUUUUAACCUCCCAUAUCAAUAUAUUUUCAUAAUAUAAAUUGUUCAAUUUCAUUUCCAAUGUAUUUUACUCAUAUAUUUUUAUUAUUUCAUAAUAUGAAUGGUAUGACAAAUAUAUGAUUGAGUCUUUUGCAAAAAAAAAAUCUUGACUCGUGUAUUUUUAAAAAUUCCUUUCAUUCUUUUCAAAAUAGACGGGCGCGAAAACGCGUGCCAUCAAUGAUCUAGUCAUAAGUGAUGUCCCGACCAGAUUCUUUCAACGUCAAUGAUUUUACUUUUUGGCAAGAUACUUUGGAGGUACGUAAAGCUAUAGAUCAGCGAUGGAUCAACGUUGAGGUCAGGUAAAGAGGCGAUUUGUCCACUUCUUCUAGGGUGGCCGCUACGGUGGUGCCGGAGUUGAGUGACGGGCAUUGGUAUCUUGCUCAAGGGUUUCUUCAGCCGAGAUUGUAAUUUUCUAUCUCGACUAGCUAAUGGUAGUUUUUGCAAUAGCUAGGGUUGUCGUAUCUUUUUUGGUUCUGUCAAGUUGGUUUUUUAGUGGAUCGUAAUUUGAUAUUUAUUUUAUAAAUGAGACACACAUUACAUCGAGAAAAAAAAUCAAGGCUACAGAUCAACAUGACCUCGUGUGUCCCGCAUGACCGCCCAGGACCUGUGUAGUGCGUACGCCGGAUCGUAGGCUCAUACACGAUAUUAGAGCAACUCUAGCAGACCCCACAUCCCGUCCUGAUUCGCAAAAUAACCGCCAAAGUGCGGGUCGGGGCGCGAAAAACGUCCCGAUCAGACCCCGCAUCCCGCCUCGGCCUGCAAAUGUUUUUUGCGGGGCGCGACAAAACAUCUCCCCCAACCUCUAGAUUCACGGGCUAGAGGGACGACCCGAGCUCAGCCCCUAUCCGCAGCGAGAUUUGGCGGGAGGGAUAUUUNNNNNNNNNNNNNNNNNNNNNNNNNNNNNNNNNNNNNNNNNNNNNNNNNNNNNNNNNNNNNNNNNNNNNNNNNNNNNNNNNNNNNNNNNNNNNNNNNNNNNNNNNNNNNNNNNNNNNNNNNNNNNNNNNNNNNNNNNNNNNNNNNNNNNNNNNNNNNNNNNNNNNNNNNNNNNNNNNNNNNNNNNNNNNNNNNNNNNNNNNNNNNCCACCGCACGCUCCCUAGCAGUCCUUCGCCGCCAUGGAUGACUCCCUGCUGUCCCACGUCACCGUCGAGGUCGCUGGCGCUCCUUCUCCUCGGGCGGAUCUCGUCGCCGGCCCAAUUGGCCCCGCUGUUGCCCAAGGUCAAGUCGCGCCUGCCCGCAAGCGGCAGGGCAACGUGGUCGUGCAGGGCAGCGCUACGGCAGCCCUCGCUGCGAGGUCCCGCGCUCCGGGCACCAAUGCUGUUGCGCGAUCUCGGCCGGCGGCGGAGAAGGUCGCCAAGGUCGCCGGCGUCAAGAGGAAGAAGAUUCCGGCCACAAAGAAGCCACCUCCUUCAUCCGCUCACUCCGGCUCGGAAAGAGGUGCCCCGACGAUGCCGCUCAACGGUGCUGCUCCCCCCGCAAGCGAGGUGUUUGACAAAAUGGCCGGAAGGUAUGUGUAUUCGGUCAUGGCAAUUUUCUUUGCUUUUCGCCAUUUUGCAAUAGCUCGUGACUUGUUGUGCUUCACUAUAGCGGUGGUUCGAACAAUGCAACUGCUGAGUUCAUGAACUUGUUGGACACCAACGCCGUUGACAUUGAUCAAGUCCCGUUUGAAGCAUUCGACUACAAUGAAACAGAGGCCGGCGUGGACGAUCAUGGUUUUUAGGACGAUUUAGAGGAGAUCGAAGCGGAAGCAUAUGAGCAAUCGCAAACAAAAACUGGGAAAAGCCAGAGAUUGAAGAAGUACAUGAUCUUGGAAGAUCAAGUUCUCCUGAAUGCAAGGAGUGCGGUGUCUCUUGAUGCAUGCACGGGUACUUGUCAAACCGCCAAGAGGUAUUGGCAAUGGAUCGAAGAUCAAUACUUCCGCAUGAUGGCAAAGUACCCCAAUAGGACUCCACGCACAUUUCGGUCUCUUCAAGGUCGUUGGGAGAAUAUCAAUCCUAUGUGCAGCCGUUGGGCAGCUUGCUUGGAGAGCAAGUAUGCAAUGCACCUCCAAGUGGAGCCGUGGAAUCCGACUAUGUGAGUAUGUUUUGCCUUUGUUCAACUUGUGCAUCAUCAUAUUACAUCAUAUAAAAUGAUUGCAUCAUUUCACUUUGUUCACAUUGUGUAGAAAAAAAUUGCCCAACAUAGAGACAAAUACAUGGAAGCUUCGGAAUGCAAAUUCUUCAAACUAGAGCAUUGUUGGGAGUUGCUCCAAAAGUGCGAUAACUGGAAGUUGAUCGAGAAAGAAACCCCAUAGAAGAGAGGCUCACUUACAAACAUGGAUGAUGAUGAGGACGAUGAUGGCCCAAGAAAUUUGAACAUGCCCGAUGGCGACAAGAAGACUAAGGAGAAGAUGAAGAGAGAGCAUGAAGCAUCGAGCUUGAGGGAGAAGAUUGAUGCCAUGGUGUAAUCAAAUGAGUUGAUGUUGUUGAAGUCGUUGGAGAUCAAGAAAGAGUUGGCUGAGAAGAAGGCAAAGGAGAAGCAAGAAAAGUGGCAAUUGCUCAGGGAAGAGGGGCUGCACAAAGCGGCCAUUGAGGAUAGAAGAGCACAUGCCGAUGAAAACAGAGCCAUGUCCAAGUUGCUCGCCCAAGAGAACAAGAUAAUGUCAAUGAACCGCAAUGACAUGGACGACCUCACCAAAACAUGGCAUGAUAUGGCAAGGAGAGAAAUCUUGAAGAGGAGAAUGGUUGUGUUGGCCGGUGCAUGUUAUACUUCCAGAGAUGUUUUCUCUGCUGGCAAUGUCGAUGAUUUCGGUGCAGGAGUUGGAACAAGCGCCGGAGGUGGAUUCGGUGGUGGUAAUGAACUUCAAGAUGGACUCGAUGGCGUGGAGUGAAGAUCGACCAAGAUGAUGCCGGACGUGGUCGUCACAUUUGCAAGACCCUCUUUUGCGUUUGUCCUACUAAACUGAGGCUUUUAUUUGCGCGUAAACUGUGUUAUGUUGUUUUAAUUUGAACUUAUUCGUGGGCACCAAUUUCAAAUUUGAGAAUUGGGCGUUUUCUGUUUGCGGGUCGACGCGGCGGUGGCCGUGCAGACACCGCAAAAGCCAACCCGUAAAAAAGUAUAUUCCACGAAUAUCCUUUUAUACAGGUCCGUUUGGGGGGUCUGCAUCUGCGGCCAUGCGAGCCAGCCCACAAAAGCCGUUUUCCACGAACUGCAAACGCGUUUUGUAGGCCGGCCGGAUGCGGGGUCUGGUAGAGUUGCUUGUCAGUACUUCAUAUGUUCAUAUCCAUAACCAAAAUAAUAGGUGCGGAUAAGCAUGUCUUAAUUAACCACCAUAAAAUGGGAUACUAAUAGGAUCCAGUUUAUCCCCUAUACUUAGCAAAACUAUAAAUUUAUACUAACGAACAAGAAUAAUAGUAAGUUGCGCGUCCACCCAUUUACCUGUUUAAUAUUUCAAUAAAUGUUAUUAAUUGAUUCCACUUAGUAUAACCAGAGCAUGGCUGCUAUAAAGCACCCAACCUGUAUAGAUCCAUUGCACAUCCACAAAGAUAGAAAGCUACAGAUACAACCGCCGGAAACACAACUCCUAAGUAAAACAAAAAUCUCCUACAUAACAUAGUUUUUCUACAAAUCAAGGAUGAAGACUGUCCAGGUGGUGCUCAUAUGCCUUGUCCUUUCGGUGCUCUGUUCAGGUAUUUUGCCAGUAUGUUUUUCUCCACCGCACUUGUAGGAAAUAUAUUUCGGCUUAUCCGUGCUCCUGCUCUCGAAACCCUGCAGGCAUCGCUGCUCGCUGUGCCCAGUACAACAUUUCCAAGGCAUGUCGAAGCAUAGCUUCAUGCACAGCACUGUGCACCUAUAAAUAUAAGGCGGACACGGUUUAUGGUGUAUGUGCUGAUAACGGAUGCUGGUGCGUAGUCUGCGUGAUACCACCUGCAGCUCAAUCUGCGUCUGCAGCCCAGAUUGCGCCUGCAGGGAAUUAAAGGAUAUCGCUUGCUUCCCUUUCUGCCUAAAUAGAAUAAAACAGUGUCUGAUUAAUGUAUUUUUCUCGUACCGACAACACUGUAUUGGUGUAUCAUGUAGCAAGGACCCGCGAGGCAAAAUAACAUCCUAUUAAUAUUGAGCGCUCUUUGGCGAAAUGCAUGAUUAAUCAAUUGGACACCGUAGAGGAUGUAUAAAUAUCCUUUCAUUGUGAGUGGCCAUGAAAAUAUGUUUGUGGAUUCUUUUUUUCUCUCCAUGUUGAGAACAUUACCAAACCAUCGGAACCGGUCCUCCAUGCAAGUUGCAUGUGGAUGGGAGAUUCACAGCCAAGAUAGUGAAUAAACAGCUCCAUAAGCAACCUUGUUCUGAUCUUGUCAAAACUAUCAAACCCAUCACUUCACGCCAUAAACCUGGCAAGCCGGUUCAAAUCUGGUCGAGAAGAAGCCCUUGGGUCAUCGAUGGUCGUCUGAAAGGCAACUUGAAUCACAAAGAGAGUGUCCCUGACGGACCUACAGGGUCUGCAGCGAUGAUCAUCAGCAUGGCAGAUCGAUCAUGAAAUGAAUGCUAAAGCGGCAAGCUAACAUUUGGAAAACGCUGGGUGAAGACAACAGAUGAAAAGUACCCACACGGAUAAUCCAUGCUAACCGAGGCCAGCAGCUACAUGCAUGGCCAGCACGUGACCUUGGUGCACUAGUAGAAAAAGGCCCAUUUGUCCCGGUUCCAGAGGCCCUUUUGUCCCGGUUUUGGAACCGGGACUAAAGGGUUGGGACUAAAGCCCAUGACCUUUUGUCCCGGUUCGCUUACGAACCGGGACGGAUGGGCCUCCAUGUGGCCUCUCCGCCGAGCCCAGGCAGGAGGGCCUUUGGUCCCGGUUCGUUACACCAACCGGGACCAAAAAGCGUCCACGUGUCAGGAGCUGGGGCCAGACAGCCCAUCUAAGGGGGGAGGUUGGGGGUUUUGGAGUCGUUAAUUGGGCCAGAUAGCCCGUCUAAGGAAGCAACAGGAGGCGGUCGACGGAGCCCAGUCGCACGAGUCUAUCCAGAACCAAGAUCCCAACCGUGGCAAGUGAGGAGGCGCGCGAGGAUCGAACACGAUGCCCUUCAGCCAAGGUUGCAAGGGAAGCCGAUCCAGCCGAAGAGGGAAUCCAGCGGACAUGCCGGAUGCGGAUGAAUCAGAGGCCCGGUCGAUCCGUCUAUGAAGUGGGGAGGGGGACGCGGGCAAUGAUGGUCGGCAACCCAUCUGCUGGGAACUGAUCGCAAUCGUACUUCAGUUUCUAAGAGCGCAUUCAUGACGAUUGUUGUGCCCAUCCUUUCCGCAGUCGAGUGGUACUUCUAUAUUGUUCCUCCCAUAACAAUCCUCGAUCACCCUCUCUACUCUGACAACACAAGCAUCUUUCAGCAUCAUGCUCUAGUAUUACUUAUGCAUGAUUCCUUAAGAUUCGUCAUUGUGGUUUACAAUCGUUCAUUAUUUUAGUUGUUCUUUCAGAUUCGUCAUUGUGCCCUACAUGAGUCUCUGUCAAAAUUUGCAUGUGUUAACUCUGUAUGUAGGUAUGCAAUUUGAUAUUUUAUAAUACUAACAUUUGUCCACUUUGUCCUAAAGUAGUUUUUGCUGCUUGGAGGUGAGCAGAGCGAAGGUAUCCCAUUAUCAUGAUUCAGAGGGCUCAUGUUAUUCUCUUUAUUGUCAAUGCAACCGAUUCCGGUUUAUAUCUCUUCUUGGAAUAAAAAAAUGCAUAUAUGAACCUGACUUCCUAUGUGGCUAUGUUCAAUCAACACAGCAGCAUGUUUUUGUUGGGCUGCAGACAUCCCCGUUCUACGACAGGUGAUACAUAGGGCAUUAGGAUUUUAGAAAAUUUGUAUACAGAAAUCUUUGGAAGUAAAACAUGUAAGUGUGGACAAGUAUGAAAGCAAUACAAAAGACUACAUUUUUAUUUUCAAGUUAUAAAGUGGAAUUCAUAUAUUACACAUGAAUGUUGUCUCCUAAAAGUGAAUAAUAACAAGACAUCCGUUCAUUCAAAUUAGUGAAUAUUUCUCAAGAUGGGUAAGAUUUACUUCCUCAGAUAGAGUGCAGUAUUGUUCAGGUACAUUUCAUUCUUUUGUACAUUGAAACCUAUUGUUGGUAUAUUCGAUAGCUAGACUGUGCACAUAAGUGUAAAGGCCAUUAGGUAUGUUGUUCAAGCUAUGUUGGUAUCUGUUUGAAGAUUAAUUCCAGUCGGAUAUGUUCCAUUGUCAUCUGACAUUUAAUAGUAAAAUAUACUAUUGAAAAUUAGUUAAAAUAUACAUUGAAUAGUUCAAAUAAAGAAAUGUCAUGUCAGAUAAGUUAAGCUGACUACAUAUUUGUCAAUGGCUUUCUCAAAGGUAGGUUUCAAAUCAGAUGUCAUUCAAAACUCAUCCUUGAAUUACCUGUAUACUUGAUUAACUGGACUACAUCAUGGAGUUGUCGUCUUUGAAGUUUGAUGAAAUAAGGCCCAUGGUUGUUUGCUUUCCACUCUUAAAUUGCCUUUAGUUUGAAAUAAGGCCCAUGGUUGAUUGCUUUCCACUCUUAAAUAGCCUUUAGUUUGAAAUAAGGCCCAUGGUUGUUUGCUUUCCACUCUUAAAUUGCCUUUUUGACAGCAACAAAAAACUAUACUAAUAGGAGUUUUGAUUUCCCUUCUUCCUGUACUUUUUCUAUAUCACAAAGAAUUGUUCAUGCCUUAUUUGUCCAUUUCAUGUUGACAUUUCAAGUUGACCAUUACGAGAGCAGCAUGAUUUUAUUUAUGAUUAUUGCUGUUGUAGAGGUGUUAAAUAUAUAAAGUAUGAAAGGUGUAAUUUCAUGAAAGUACAUUGUAAUAUCAGCUUCCUUUGCCUGAUUGAUGUUGCUUUACAGUCUUAUUUGUCGGCAUUUUGUUCGGCGAGUUAAUGCUUUUUACAUGCUGUGAGGUCAUAUAUGUUGCAGGCACAGAGCAGAAAAGAUUUUUCCAUAGACACAGAAGCAAUGCUCCGGCUGUAGCAUUAAUUACACACACUCCUAUUUCAUAGGCUGCUAUAUAAAUAUGUACAAAAGGAUUGCUAUAUCAAAUACAAGUUUAUGAUCAGUGCAUAUUAUCUUGCUUACAGUUAUCUACAUGGGUCUAGUUCCUUUUAAUAUCAAUAUUUGUCAUCAGAUUCUGAUAUACAUUGUUUCAGUCCAAAAUAUACAGGGUGCACAUUUUCUACAAUUAAUUUCGACUAAGACUUUCUUUUCUGUGUGGUAUGAUCACUUAUCAGUAAUUUGAUGGUUAUCUAUAUAUGUUGAAUUUUCAUAGCAUUUUAACCUCUGAUGUCAAUAUAUUUUCAUAAUAUAAAUUGUUCAAUUUCAUUUCCAAUGUAUUUUUACUCAUAUAUUUUUAUUAUUUCAUAAUAUGAAUGGUAUGACAAAUAUAUGAUUUAGUUUUUUGGAAAAAAAAUCUUGACUCAUGUAUUUUUCAAAAUUCCUUUCAUUCUUUUAAAAAUAGAUGGGCGCGGCAACACGCGCCAUUAAUGAUCUAGUCAUAAGUGAUGUCCCGACCAGAUUCUUUGAACGUCAAUGAUUUUACUUUUUGGCACGAUACUUUGGAGGUACGUAAAGCUAUAGAACAGCGAUGGAUCAACGUUGAGGUCAGGUAAAGAGGCGAUCUGUCCACUUCUUCUAGGGUGGCCGCUACGAUGGUGCCGGAGUUGAGUGAUGGGCAUUGGUAGUAUCUUUCUCAAGGGUUUCUUCAGCCGAGAUUGUAAUUUUCUUUCUCGACUAGCUAAGUGUAGUUUUUACAAUAACUAGGGUUGUCCUAUCUUUUUUGGUUCCGUCAAGUUGGUGUUUAAGUGGAUCCUAAUUUGAUAUUUAUUUUAUAAAUGAGACACACUGUCGGUGUCCAAACCGGCGGAUCUCGGGUAGGGGGUCCCGAACUGUGCGUCUAAGGCGGAUGGUAACAGGAAGCAGGGGACACGAUGUUUUCCCCAGGUUCGGGCCCUCUUGAUGGAGGUAAAACCCUACGUCCUGCUUGAUUUAUUCUUGAUGAUAUGAGUAUUACAAGAGUUGAUCUACCAUGAGAUCGGAGAGGCUAAACCCUAGAAGCUAGCCUAUGGUAUGAUUGUAUGUUGUCCUACGGACUAAAACCCUCCGGUUUAUAUAGACACCGGAGGGGGCUAGGGUUACACAAGGUCGGUUACAAAGGAGGAGAUAUACAUAUCCGUAUUGCCUAGCUUGCCUUCCACGCCAAGUAGAGUCCCAUCCGGACACGAGACGAAGUCUUCAAUCUUGUAUCUUCAUAGUCUAACAGUCUGGCCAAAGGAUAUAGUCCGGCUGUCCGGAGACCCCCUAAUCCAGGACUCCCUCAGUAGCCCCUGAACCAGGCUUCAAUGACGAUGAGUCCGGCGCGCAGUAUUGUCUUCGGCAUUGCAAGGCGGGUUCCUCCUCCGAAUACACGAGGGAAGAAUUUGAAUACAAGGAUAGUGUCCGACCCUGCAAAAUAAGUUCCACAUACCACCUAGAGAGAAUAAAAUUUCCACAAAUCUAAUCUGUUGACUUGUUUUGGCAACAUGACAUUAUGACAUGGCCUGGUGAUUAUUCGAACCAUUUCCUUUAACUAGCCCCGCACAUAAUGCGAGGCAGUUUUUUGACACGUCUUGUCAAAGCAGAGAUCGUGUCCCCCUUAUUACGGGAUCCUCGUCAAUAUGGGCGUGGGUAACCCAACCGCGCCUAGGACUCCUAGAUUUUAGGCAAGUCCCAAACGACCACGAGGAGGACGCUCGAUAUUCACCCUCUUUAUAAAGGGUCAAGGUUUUUACUUUUUUCCUCCCAUGCUCAAGCGAAUCCUUCCCCCGCCUCGAGUCCUAACACCCAAAGCCCAGGUCAGGUGCUUUGGACCUUCAAUCAUGUCCGGAUCCAGCCUCCAGGGGCGGUGGAUGCCCUCCUCCGUCACGGAAGAGGAUAUCAAGAAGUUGAGGGAGGCAAGAUACUUGACCGCCAAAGUCUCGCAUCGGCUGCCCACCCGAGGGCAGGUCGUCCCUACUCCCUAACCCAACGAAGAUGCUGUGUUCAUCUCCCACUUCCUCCGAGGACUAGGCCUCACUCUGGAUCCCUUCAUAAGGGGUUUGAUGUUCUAUUAUGGGCUUGAUUUCCACGAUCUAGCCCCGGAUUCCUUUCUCCACAUCUGGGCAUUUAUUGUCGUAUGUGAGGCCUUCCUCCGCAUUACCCCUCACUUCGGCAUGUGGCUCAAGACCUUUGAUGUGAAGCCGAAGACGGUCGAAGGGCAGUAUGCAGCGUGCGGAGGUGCAUUAAUAAGCAAGAUUGCCGGGGCUCCAUGGCCAAAAGGUUCCUUUCCAUAGGUGUCCGGAUUAUGGCAAAGGGAGUGGUUCUACAUCACCACUCCCAUAAGUGCCAAGUGGGUAGCUCCCCCCACCUUUCGCUCGGGCCCUCCACCAUAACUGAUGUCAUGGAUCAGCAGGGGGCUGAGCUGGGGUCUAGCCAAGGAUGUGCCCAUACUGCAGAGCCGCAUCCGGGAUCUCUUCGAGGGAGAUUUUAGUUUGGUUAUGGUAGUGCAAGUCAUGCUGGUUCAUCAAGUCCAGCCUUGCAAACGUCGGCCCCUCCAUUUAUGGGAAUUCAACGCAGAAGGACCGCGCGCUAUUCAGAAUUUCCUCGGCCUGACGCACAAGAAGAUGUACAAGUCGUUCUUCGGACCCCAGAUAGAGUGUCCGGACACCUCCGAGGACGUGGGCCUGAGCAGCAACUGCACCGCUGCCAAAGUAAGUAACCCUCUAGCCGAACACACUAUCUUUCUUUUAUCAUGACAUCAUUCUGAAGGAUCGCUCUUUGACCAGGACUGGAUAGCAAAGGCGAAGAUGAUCCGGUGUUCGGCUCCCCUUCCCGAAGGCUUGGACAAUCAGGUGCUGGAAUGCUCGAGCCAGCACCUUGUCUGGUGCCCGCAAAGGAAGAUGAAGGGGGGAAUAAAGAGGGCCAAAGCGGGCCUCCACCGCUAUCUGUUCCAACCGAGGGAACAAGCGCCUUCGUGAGGGAGGAUAGCCAAGAGAAGGAGUCUGACAUUCCUUCGCCCCGGGGGAGGAAGAGGACCACCAUUGAUGAUCCGGAAACCAAGGUUUCCAAACGGGAGAAAAAAACUCCACCAGAGGGUCCCGUCUCGGAGGGUGCUUUUGCCGCACAAAGUUCAUGCGGGGAUCAGCCCUCUAACGAGUCGUGAGUGAUCAAAAUUUACUUAAUGGUAGAGAUAUUCUACCUUACUUUCGAGGAAAAUAACCGAAGUGUUUAUCUUGCAGUUCGGAUCUUAGCCCUUCUCAACAGAGCUCUUCUUCAGGGGACCUUCUUUCGGAGAUGAUGGAGAGCAAAACGCCUCCCCUGGACUCCCUCGGUCAAGAAGCGGGCGACCUUGAAGUGUCGUCCCGGAGGGCCUCUCCGGAUCCGGUGAGGCCAGAAGAUAAUCCCAUAGUCACCCGAAGUCCCCAGCAUCCGGCUCUUGAAGAGGGAAGACAAAAGUGUCCGGCACCGUCUGGUAUGCGGUCGGACGUAAUGAGGGAUCUGCUAAAGCGAACAACCAUCUCGGAAGAACACCGUGUGUUGAUGGGUACGGUGAUGGAAAGGAUUUCAUCCGCCGAAAGCGGGUUGCAUGAUCCCUUUAUGAGUUUACUAACGGGCUUUGAGGUACAUAAAAUGAUAUACCUUUGUGAUAGUACCGCAGAUUUUUAGGUGUGCCCUGUGUAGAUAGUAGCCCCUGAGACUCUGUUUGUCACCAAGAACGGCGGCAAACAGAGGAUCGUAGUCCCAGGUAAUAACCAUACCGCCUUUAUGCGCAUGUAGUGGAAGCUCCGGUGGCUAGCCGGACUCAUGAGUUUGCCUAACUAAAGCGGCAACUGGAUGCGGCGGAUGCCGACAUCGAGCUUGUUAACAAGCGCCUUGACAAGUCAUAGGGUAAGAGAUAUUUUCUGGUGAAUGUCACCUAGUAAGAGCAGCGUGAUGCCAGUAUCUUUAAUAUUUUGUGACUGCAGAUGGAUCUGCCACCGUGGAGACCCUUCGGGCGGAACUUGCCCGAGCCAAAGAACAAGCAAGGACUAGUAAUGCGGCUGCUUUGAAGGCGGCCGAAGAGUUAAGAGCCGAGAAGGCCGCACAUUGUGAGAGCAAAGAGAAAAUUGUCAAGAUGGCUGUAAAGUUAAAAGACACUGCCGACCGUUGCUAGUUCCUUGAGGAAGAAAACCGAGCGAAGGCGACGGACCUUGAAAAGGCCACGAUGGCGACCAAAGACACCCGUUCUGCCAUGAGAGUGAAGGAGGAGCUGCGUGAAGCCUGUGACAUUGUGGCUGGGAAGCCCUUUUGCUGCGGAGGAAGUUCGGAGAUCCGUGGUAUGCCCCUCUGGAUCGGCUGUGGAGUUCGGAAGACGCAUAUCUAGACUUGGCGGCAAGCGCUAUCGAUGCGGCCGAAUACUUCCGAGAUCAAACGGAUCAGGAAGUGGACAAGCUGUUCUGGUCGCAGUUUAACAUUCCAGAGCGUCCGCUCCCAUUGACCGAUCAGCUAGCCGAAUGGGACAAACUCAAUAGGUUGUCCGGACUCGCCAUGAUGUCUGUCGUGGAUCAGCUGUGGCCGGGAAGGCCAAAGCCGAACAUUUAUUUUAGCCUGGUGCAGCAGUUCCUUGGUGCGGUGCCGCGCAUCAAUGCGAUGAAGAGGUCGGCGUGUAUAGAAGGCUCACGGAUGGCCCUUGCCCGUGUCAAAGCAUACUGGGCGGAGAUGGAUGCUACCAUUGUCGCGACGUAGGGUUCGGCCAUAGGCCGAGUGGCUGCCGAGCACUAUUUUGAAGAAGUUCUUGAGGGUGCUCGUUUGAUAGAGGCCAGUGCUCGAAGAAUAUUAUGUUUGAGUGACAUGUAUUCCCAUUGUAAAAACAAUGUUUUAUUAGUUUUAUCAAGGUUGUAUUUAUACUUUUCCCCGAAAGUAUUGUGAUGCCUCAUGUGCGGCCGUUGUAUGUAUACAUGUAUAUAACCUGAAAGGUUGUAGUCGUCGGCUUCAGCCCCCACACAUAUAAUGCAGGGGUGUUCGCAGAAGACGCGUAUUCACACUUAAUCCAACGUCUUGGUCCUAAUAAGGAGGUGAUAGCGCAGCGAACUAGGCAACCGGACUAUAAUACUUUAACACUUUCACUUAGCCAUAGGAGUUUGACAGUGGGGCUACUAUAUAGCCCUUGGUGGCACCGCACUCACCCAAGUUCGGAGUGCGUACAUGCCCGGCCGGGAAACGGCCCUUCGUUAAGGCAGAGGAAUUCUAGGAUUCCGAUAGAUCAUCGAGUGGUUGACCAGUCUCGCGCUAUAUCAUGACAGUCAGUUUUUGGCUUUCUCUACUGAGGUGCUCGUCCGGAUGAACCAGGGCACAAUCGCAGUAGUUCUCCUGGUGCCGCCUUAGCCGAUAGAGCGGAACGUAAGGCAGCAAAACACAGGAGCCGGGCAAACCAAACAUUUGACCCAAGACAUGAUUUGGAGCUGAUGCAUAUAAGGGCAAACUCGCGAUGUCGAACACUCCCUAAGGUAUUCGGUCUUUAUGGUGUAAACCGGGCCUAAACAGUGCCCUUUGUAAGAAGCCCCUAGUGUCCAGGUACGUGCAUUGUUCUGACGUGGCCACAUGCCAAGACGUCAGCAUCCUUCUCAAUUGUACUGAGAAUGUGAGGGAUGUGUAUCAACAAGAGAUAGUAAAAAAGGUUGACGCAGGGUCUUAAUCUAAAAAGAAUCCUUGGAACGGCUCCCUGCUGCACGUCCGCGCCUGUGUCUCCGUUGUGUCGUAUCCUGGACGGGUGUAGUACGAUUGUCAUCUGUAAAAGCGAGGAACUUGGGUGAAAAGUUGUCGUGCAAAGAGGUGGGUUUAAAGAAACCAUUUACAGUUCAAGAUGAAUAAAAAUUGCCACUUGUCUAUGCACGUUGAGCCCCUUGUAUUUGUAAUAGGGGUGUGGCCAUCAAACCUGUAUGAAUUUCAUAUAGCUGCGCCAGACUCGUCUAACCAUGUCCGUGGUCUUGACGACCUAUCAAAUUCUUUAGUUGGUGAGGCCGUUUUAGUGUGUGGCUGCCCAGGCAGCCGCACUCUCUUCGGCAUGCAGGGAUCGCUCAAUAUUUCCAUUUACUAUAAUGAUGCCACGUGGACCGGGCAUCUUAAGUGUGAGGGAAGCGUAAUGCGAUAUUGCAUUAAAGCGAGCGAAACCUUCGUGUCGAAGUAGUGCUUUAUAGCCACUUUGGAACAGAGCAAUGUGGAAGGUUAAAUUUUCGCUACGGAAGUUAUCGGGGAAGCCGAAUAUAACCUCUAGUAGCAGGGAGCCCGUGCAAUGAGCCCCUGGGCCUGGCGUUACUCCUCUAAAGGUAGUAUUGUUGUGGCAAAUUUUUGUUGGGUCUAUCCCCAUUUUGCGGAUUGUGUCCUGAUAUAUCAGGUUUAAACUGCUGCCGCCGUCCAUCAGGACUCGUGUGAAGUGGUAUCCGUCAAUUAUUGGUUCUAAUACCAAGGCAGCCCACCCUGCGUUUCGGAUACUUGCUGAGUAAUCCUGAUGGUCGAAGGUGAUCGGUUGAGAUGGCCAGUGGCAGAACUCCGCGGUGAUAGGCCCUUGGGCAUGUUUUUCUGGGAGUGCCGCUUUGCUUCUCCCCUUUAUCACGUGUAACACGUUUACUGUUUUGACUUCUGGUGGAAAUUUCUUCUAUUCCCCAGUGUUUUGCUUGCGAGGCUCAUCCUCGUCUUCGCUUGGUGGAUCCUGCCCCUUAUGUUCGGCGUUGAGCUUGCCGGACUACUAGAAGACCCAACAUUCUCUAUGGGUAUGAUUUGCAGGUUUAUCGGGGGUGCUAUGGAUCUGACAUAUUUGGUCCAUAAUUUUGUUUAAGUUGGACAGUUCAUCUCUGGUGCCUUUAAAGGGCGGCUUUUGCUGACCUGGCUGAGAGCUUCUGAACCCGGCGUUUACCGCCGUGCUCUUCGGGUUGUCUUCUUUAUUCCGGCGCUUAUUAUUUUUGCUGCGUCGUGAUUUCCCGUUUCCAUCUCUAACUUCAGAUGUACUUGGGUCGCUGGUGCUGCAUCGGGCUAGCUAGUUGUCCUCGCCCGCGCAAUGGCGGGUCAUGAGGCUUGUUAAUGAUGCCAUUGUUCUUGGCUUUUCUUAGCCGAGGUGCCUGGCAAGCCAUUCGUCUCGGACGCUAUGCUUAAAGGCUGUCAAGGCUUCGGCGUCUGGACAGUCGACUAUUUGGUUCUUUUUAGUAAGAAACUGAAGGAAAUAUGCCCUAGAGGCAAUAAUAAAGUUAUUAUUUAUUUCCUUAUAUCAUGAUAAAUGUUUAUUAUUCAUGCUAGAAUUGUAUUAACCGGAAACAUAAUACAUGUGUGAAUAUAUAGACAAACAGAGUGUCACUAGUAUGCCUCUACUUGACUAGCUCGUUAAUCAAAGAUGGUUAUGUUUCCUAACCAUGGACAAAGAGUUGUUAUUUGAUUAAUGGGAUCACAUCAUUAGAUGAAUGAUCUGAUUGACAUGACCCAUUCCAUUAGCUUAGCACCCGAUCGUUUAGUAUGUUGCUAUUGCUUUCUUCAUGACUUAUACAUGUUCCUAUGACUAUGAGAUUAUGCAACUCCCGUUUGCCGGAGGAACACUUUGUGUGUUACCAAACGUCACAACAUAACUGGGUGAUUAUAAAGGUGCUCUACAGGUGUCUCCAAAGGUACAUGUUGGGUUGGCGUAUUUCGAGAUUAGGAUUUGUCACUCCGAUUGUCGGAGAGGUAUCUCUGGGCCCUCUCGGUAAUGCACAUCACAUAAUCCCUGCAAGCAUUGCAACUAAUGAGUUAGUUGUGAGAUGAUGUAUUACGGAACGAGUAAAGAGACUUGCCGGUAACGAGAUUGAACUAGGUAUUGAGAUACCACGAUCGAAUCUCGGGCAAGUAACAUACCGAUGACAAAGGGAACAACGUAUGUUGUUAUGCGGUCUGACCGAUAAAAGAUCUUCGUAGAAUAUGUAGGAGCCAAUAUGAGCAUCCAGGUUCCGCUGUUGGUUAUUGACCGGAGACAUGUCUCAGUCAUGUCUACAUUGUUCUCGAACCCAUAGGGUCCGCACGCUUAUGGUUUCGAUGACAGUUAUAUUAUGAGUUUAUGCAUUUUGAUGUAUCGAAGUUUGUUCGGAGUCCCGGAUGUGAUCACGGACAUGACGAGGAGUCUCGAAAUGGUCGAGAGAUAAAGAUUGAUAUAUUGGAAGCCUAUAUUUGGAUGUCGGGAUGAAAUCGGGAUUUUACCGGAGUACCAGGAGGUUACCGGAAACCCCGGGGAGUUAUAUGGGCCUUAGUGGGCUUUAGUGGAAGAGAGGAGAGGUGGCCAGGGCUGGGCCGCGCGCCCCUCCCCCCUAGUCCAAAUAGGACAAGGAGAAGGGGGUGGCGCCCCCCCCCCCCUUCCUUCUCUCUCUCCUCUUUCCCCUUCCCGAAUCCUAUUCCAACUAGGAAAGGGGGGAAUCCUACUCCCGGUGGGAGUAGGACUCCUCCUGGCGCGCCCUCCUCCUGGCCGGCCGCACCCCCCCCCCUUGAUCCUUUAUAUACGGGGGCAAGGGGCACCCCUAGACACACAAGUUGAUCCGGGUGAUCAUAUUUUUAACCGUGUGCGGUGCCCCCUUCCACCAUAGUACUCGAUAAUAUUGUAGCGAUGAUUAGGCGAAGCCCUGCGAUAGUAGUACAUCAAGAUCGUCACCACGCCGUCGUGCUGAGGGAACUCUUCCCCGACACUUUGUUGGAUCGUAGUCCGCGGAUCAUCAUCGAGCUGAACGUGUGCUAGAACUCGGAGGUGCCAUAGUUUUGGUGCUUGAUCGGUCGGGCCGUGAAGACGUACGACUACAUCAACCGCGUUGUGCUAACGCUUCCGCUGUCGGUCUACAAGGGUACGUAGAUGACACUCUCCCCUCUCGUUGCUAUGCAUCACCAUGAUCUUGCGUGUGCGUAGGAAUUUUUUUGAAAUUACCACGUUCCCCUACAGUGGCAUCCGAGCCUAGGUUUUAUGUGUUGAUGUUAUAUGCACGAGUAGAACACAAGUGAGUUGUGGGCGACAUAAGUCAUACUGCUUACCAGCAUGUCAUACUUUGUUUCGGCGGUAUUGUUGGACGAAGCGGCCCAGACCGACAUUACGCGUACGCUUACGCGAGACCGGUUCUCCCGACGUGCUUUGCACAAAGGUGGCUAGCGGGUGACAGUUUCUCCAACUUUAGUUGAACCAAGUGUGGCUGCGCCCGGUCCUUGCGAAGGUUAAAACAGCACCAACUUGACAAACUAUCAUUGUGGUUUUGAUGCAUAGGUAAGAUUGGUUCUUGCUUAAGCCCGUAGCAGCCACGUAAAAAAUUGCAACAACAAAGUAGAGGACGUCUAACUUGUUUUUGCAGGGCAUGUUGUGAUGUGAUAUGGUCAAGACAUGAUGCUAAAUUUUAUUGUAUGAGAUGAUCAUGUUUUGUAACCGAAUUAUCGGCAACUGGCAGGAGCCAUAUGGUUGUCGCUUUAUUGUAUGCAAUGCAAUCGUGCUGUAAUGCUUUACUUUAUCACUAAGCGGUAGCGAUAGUCGUGGAAGCAUAAGAUUGGCGAGAUGACAACGAUACUACGAUGGAGAUCAAGGUGUCGCACCAGUGACGAUGGUGAUCACGACGGUGCUUCGAAGAUGGAGAUCACAAGCACAAGAUGAUGAUGGCCAUAUCAUAUCACUUAUAUUUGAUUGCAUGUGAUGUUUAUCUUUUAUGCAUCUUAUCUUGCUUUGAUUGACGGUAGCAUUAUAAGAUGAUCUCUCACUAAUUAUCAAGAAGUGUUCUCCCUGAGUAUGCACCGUUGCGAAAGUUCUUCGUGCUGAGACACCACGUGAUGAUCGGGUGUGAUAGGCUCUACGUUCAAAUACAACGGGUGCAAAACAGUUGCACACGCAGAAUACCCAGGUUAUACUUGACGAGCCAAGCAUAUACAGACAUGGCCUCGGAACACGGAGACCAAAAGGUCGAGCGUGAAUCAUAUAGUAGAUAUGAUCAACAUAGUGAUAUUCACCAAUGAAACUACUCCAUCUCAUGUGAUGAUCGGACAUGGUUUAGUUGAUUUGGAUCACGUAAUCACAUAGAGGAUUAGAGGGAUGUCUGUCUAAGUGGGAGUUCUUUAAGUAAUAUGAUUAAUUGAUCCUAAAUUUAUCAUGAACUUAGUACCUGAUAGUAUCUUGCUUAUGUAUGUUUGAUUGUAGAUAGAUGGCCCGUGCUGUUGUUCUGUUGAAUUUUAAUGCAUUCCUUGAGAAAGCAAAGUUGAAAGAUGAUGGUAGGAAUUACACGAACUGGGUCCGUAACUUGAGGAUUAUCCUCAUUGCUGCACAGAAGAAUUACGUCCUGGAAGCACCGCUGGGUGCCAGGCCUGCUGCUGGAGCAACACCAGAUGUUAUGAACGUCUGGCAGAGCAAAGCUGAUGACUACUCGAUAGUUCAGUGUGCCAUGCUUUAUGGCUUAGAAUCGGGACUUCAACGAUGUUUUGAACGUCAUGGAGCAUAUGAGAUGUUCUAGGAGUUGAAGUUAAUAUUUCAAGGAAAUUCCCAGAUUGAGAGAUAUGAAGUCUCCAAUAAAUUCUAUAGCUGCAAGAUGGAGGAGAACAGUUUUGUCAGUGAGCAUACACUCAAAAUGUCUGGGUAUAAUAAUCACUUGAUUCAAUUGGGAGUUAAUCUUCCAGAUGAUUGCGUCAUUGACAGGAUUCUCCAAUCACUGCCACCAAGCUACAAGAGUUUCGUGAUGAACUAUAAUAUGCAAGGGAUGAAUAAGACUAUUCCCGAGCUCUUCGCAAUGCUGAAAGCUGCGGAGGUAGAAAUCAAGAAGGAGCAUCAAGUGUUGAUGGUCAACAAGACCACUAGUUUCAAGAAAAAGGGCAAAGGGAAGAAGAAGGGGAACUUCAAAAGGAACAGCAAGCAAGUUGCUACUCAAGAGAAGAAACCCAAACCUGGACCUAAGCCUGAAACUGAGUGCUUCUACUGCAAGCAGACUGGUCACUGGAAGCGGAACUGCCCCAAGUAUUUGGCGGAUAAGAAGGAUGGCAAGGUGAACAAAGGUAUAUGUGAUAUACAUGUUAUUGAUGUGUACCUUAAUAAUGCUCGCAGUAGAACCUGGGUAUUUGAUACUAGUUCUGUUGCUAAUAUUUGCAACUCGAAACAGGGACUACAGAUUAAGCGAAGAUUGGCUAAGGACGAGGUGGCGAUGCGCGUAGGAAACGGUUCCAAAGUCGAUGUGAUCGCAGUCGGCACGCUACCUCUACAUCUACCUUCGGGAUUAGUAUUAGACCUAAAUAAUUGUUAUUUGGUGCCAGCGUUAAGCAUGAACAUUAUAUCUAGAUCUUGUUUGAUGCGAGACGGUUAUUCAUUUAAAUCAAAGAAUAAUGGUUGUUCUAUUUACAUGAGUAAAAUCUUUAUGGUCAUGCACCAUUAAGGAGUGGUCUAUUCUUAUUAAAUCUUGAUAGUAGUGACACACAUAUUCAUAGUGUUGAAGCCAAAAGAUGCAGAGUUGAUAAUGAUAGUGCAACUUAUUUGUGGCACUACCGUUUGGGUCAUAUCGGUAUAAAGCGCAUGAAGAAACUCCAUACUGAUGGGCUUUUGGAACCACUUGAUUAUGAAUCACUUGGUACUUGCGAACCGUGCCUUAUGGGUAAGAUGACAAAAACACCGUUCUCCGGUUCUAUGGAGAGAGCAACAGAUUUGUUGGAAAUCAUACAUACAGAUGUAUGUGGUCCGACGAAUAUUGAGGCUCGUGGCAGAUAUCGUUAUUUUCUCACCUUCACAGAUGACUUAAGCAGAUAUGGGUAUAUCUACUUAAUGAAACACAAGCCUGAAACGUUUGAAAAGUUCAAAGAAUUUCAGAGUGAAGUUGAAAAUCAUCGUAACAAGAAAAUAAAAUUCCUACGAUCUGAUCGUGGAGGAGAAUAUUUGAGUUACGAGUUUGGUGUACAUUUGAAACAAUGUGGAAUAGUUUCGCAACUCACGCCACCCGGAACACCACAGCGUAAUGGUGUGUCCGAACGUCGUAAUCGUACUUUACUAGAUAUGGUGCGAUCUAUGACGUCUCUUACUGAUUUACCGCUAUCAUUUUGGGGAUACGCUCUAGAGACGGCCACAUUCACGUUAAAUAGGGCACCAUUAAAAUCCGUUGAGACGACGCCUUAUGAACUGUGGUUUGGCAAGAAACCAAAGUUGUCGUUUCUGAUAGUUUGGGGUUGCGAUGCUUAUGUGAAAAAGCUUCAACCUGAUAAGCUCGAACCUAAAUCAGAGAAAUGUGUCUUCAUAGGAUAUCCAAAGGAAACUAUUGGAUACACCUUCUAUCACAGAUCCGAAGGCAAGACUUUUGUUGCUAAAUUCGGAAACUUUCUGGAGAAGGAGUUUCUCUCGAAAGAAGUGAGUGGGAGGAAAGUAGAACUUGACGAGGUAACUGUACCUACUCCCUUAUUGGAAAGUAGUACAUCACAGAAACCUGUUUCUACGACACCUACACCAAUUAGUGAGGAAGCUAAUGAUAAUGAUCAUGAAACUUCAGAACAAGAUACUACGGAACCUCGUAGAUCAACCAGAAUGAGAUCCGCGCCAGAGUGGUACGGUAAUCCUGUUCUGGAAGUCAUGCUACUAGAUCAUGAUGAACCUACAAACUAUGAAGAAGCGAUGGUGAGUCCAGAUUCCGCAAAAUGGCUUGAAGCCAUGAAAUCUGAUAUGGGAUCCAUGUAUGAGAACAAAGUAUGGACUUUGGUUGACUUGCCAAAUGAUCGGCAAGCAAUUGAGAAUAAAUGGAUCUUCAAGAAGAAGACUGACGCUGACGGUAAUAUUACUGUCUACAAAGCUCGACUUGUCGCAAAAGGUUUUCGGCAAGUUCAAGGGAUUGACUACGAUGAGACCUUCUCACCCGUAGCGAUGCUUAAGUUUGUCCGAAUCAUGUUAGCAAUUGCCGCAUUUUAUGAUUAUGAAAUUUGGCAGAUGGAUGUCAAAACUGCAUUCCUGAAUGGAUUUCUGGAAGAAGAGUUGUAUAUGAUGCAACCAGAAGGUUUUGUCGAUCCAAAGGGAGCUAACAAAGUGUGCAAGCUCCAGCGAUCCAUUUAUGGACUAGUGCAAGCCUCUCGGAGUUGGAAUAAAUGCUUUGAUAGUGUGAUCAAAGCAUUUGGUUUUAUACAGACUUUUGGAGAAGCCUGUAUUUACAAGAAAGUGAGUGGGAGCUCUGUAGCAUUUCUGAUAUUAUAUGUGGAUGACAUAUUACUAAUUGGAAAUGAUAUAGAAUUUCUGGAUAGCUUAAAGGGAUACUUGAAUAAGAGUUUUUCAAUGAAAGACCUCAGUGAAGCUGCUUACAUAUUAGGCAUUAAGAUCUAUAGAGAUAGAACAAGAUGCUUAGUUGGACUUUCAUAAAGCACAUACCUUGACAAAGUUUUGAAGAAGUUCAAAAUGGAUCAAGCAAAGAAAGGGUUCUUGCCUGUGUUACAAGGUGUGAAGUUGAGUAAGACUCAAUGCCCGACCACUGCAGAAGAUAGAGAGAAAAUGAAAGAUGUUCCCUAUGCUUCAGCCAUAGGCUCUAUCAUGUAUGCAAUGUUGUGUACCAGACCUGAUGUGUGCCUUGCUAUAAGUCUAGCAGGGAGGUACCAAAGUAAUCCAGGGGUGGAUCACUGGACAGUGGUCAAGAACAUACUGAAAUACCUGAAGAGGAAUAAGGAUAUGUUUCUCAUUUAUGGAGGUGACAAUACUGGUGCAAUUGCCUUGGCAAAGGAAUCCAGAUUCCCCAAGAGAACCAAGCACAUCAAGAGACGCUUCAAUUCCAUCCGGGAUCUAGUCCAGGUGGGAGACAUAGAGAUUUGCAAGAUACAUACGGAUCUGAAUGUAGCAGACCCGUUGACUAAGCCUCUUCCACGAGCAAAACAUGAUCAGCACCAAGGCUCCAUGGGUGUUAGAAUCAUUACUGUGUAAUCUAGAUUAUUGACUCUAGUGCAAGUGGGAGACUGAAGGAAAUAUGCCCUAGAGGCAAUAAUAAAGUUAUUAUUUAUUUCCUUAUAUCAUAAUAAAUGUUUAUUAUUCAUGCUAGAAUUGUAUUAACCGGAAACAUAAUACAUGUGUGAAUAUAUAGACAAACAGAGUGUCACUAGUAUGCCUCUACUUGACUAGCUCGUUAAUCAAAGAUGGUUAUGUUUCCUAACCAUGGACAAAGAGUUGUUAUUUGAUUAACGGGAUCACAUCAUUAGAUGAAUGAUCUGAUUGACAUGACCCAUUCCAUUAGCUUAGCACCCGAUCGUUUAGUAUGUUGCUAUUGCUUUCUUCAUGACUUAUACAUGUUCCUAUGACUAUGAGAUUAUGCAACUCCCGUUUGCCGGAGGAACACUUUGUGUGUUACCAAACGUCACAACGUAACUGGGUGAUCAUUAAGGUGCUCUACAGGUGUCUCCAAAGGUACAUGUUGGGUUGGCGUAUUUCGAGAUUAGGAUUUGUCACUCCGAUUGUCGGAGAGGUAUCUCUGGGCCCUCUCAGUAAUGCACAUCACAUAAGCCUUGCAAGCAUUGCAACUAAUGAGUUAGUUGUGAGAUGUUGUAUUACGGAAUGAGUAAAGAGACUUGCCGGUAACGAGAUUGAACUAGGUAUUGAGAUACCGACGAUCGAAUCUCGGGCAAGUAACAUACUGAUGACAAAGGGAACAACGUAUGUUGUUAUGCAGUCUGACCGAUAAAAGAUCUUCGUAGAAUAUGUAGGAGCCAAUAUGAGCAUCCAGGUUCCGCUAUUGGUUAUUGACUGGAGACAUGUCUCGGUCAUGUCUACAUUGUUCUCGAACCCGUAGGGUCCGCACGCUUAAGGUUUCGAUGACAGUUAUAUUAUGAGUUUAUGCAUUUUGAUGUAUCGAAGUUUGUUCAGAGUCCCGGAUGUGAUCACAUACAUGACGAGGAGUCUCGAAAUGGUCGAGACAUAAAGAUUGAUAUAUUGGAAGCCUAUAUUUGGAUGUCGGAAGUGUUCCGGAUGAAAUCGGGAUUUUACCGGAGUACCGGGAGGUUACCAGAACCCCCCGGGAGGUAUAUGGGCCUUAGUGGGCUUUAGUGGAAGAGAGGAGAGGUGGCCAGGGCUGGGCCGCGCGCCCCUCCCCCUAGUCCGAAUAGGACAAGGAGAAGGAGGCGGCGCCCCCCCCCCUCCUUCCUUCUCUCUCUCCUCUUUCCCCCUUCCCGAAUCUUAUUCCAACUAGGAAAGGGUUGAAUCCUACUACUGGUGGGAGUAGGACUCCUCCUGGCGCGCCCUCCUCCUGGCCGGCUGCACCCCCCCUCGAUCCUUUAUAUACGGGGGCAAGGGGCACCCCUAGACACACAAGUUGAUCCAGGUGAUCAUAUUCUUAACCGUGUGCGGUGCCCCCUUCCACCAUAGUACUCGAUAAUAUUGUAGCGGUGCUUAGGCGAAGCCCUGCGACAGUAGUACAUCAAGAUCGUCACCAUGCCGUCGUGUUGAUGGAACUCUUCCCCGACACUUUGCUGGAUCGGAGUCCGAGGAUCGUCAUCGAGCUGAACGUGUGCUAGAACUCGGAGGUGCGGUAGUUUCGGUGCUUGAUCGGUCGGGCCGUGAAGACGGACGACUACAUCAACCGCGUUGUGCUAACGCAUCCGCUGUCGGUCUACAAGGGUAUGUAGAUGACACUCUCACCUCUCGUUGCUAUGCAUCACCAUGAUCUUGCGUGUGCGUAGGAAAUUUUUUUAAAUUACCACGUUCCCCUACAGAAACCUCUUCCAAAGCUUUCGGGCUGACUCUCCGGGCAGUUGAGUUAUAUGACUUAAAUCGUCUGCAUCCGGUGCUCAGACAUAUGUCCCUUGAAAAUUUGCCUGAAAGGCAUCUUCGAGCUCUUCAUAGCUUCCAAUGGAGCAUUCGGGGAGGCUUUUAAGCCACUGCCGAGUGCGAUAAGUGGAAGUUGAUCGAGUAAGAAUCCCCACAGAAGAGAGGAUCACUUACAAACAUGGAUGAUGAUGAGGAUGAUGAUGGCCCAAGAAAUUUGAACAAGCCCGAUGGCGACAAGAAGACUAAGGAGAAGAUGAAGAGAGAGCAUGAAGCAUCGAGCUUGAGGGAGAAGAUUGAUGCCAUGGUGUAAUCAAAUGAGUUGAUGUUGUUGAAGUCGUUGGAGAUCAAGAAAGAGUUGGCCAAGAAGAAGGCAAAGGAGAAGCAAGAAAAGUGGCAAUUGCUCAAGGAAGAGGGGCUGCACAAAGCGGCCAUUGAGGAUAGAAGAGCACGUGCCGAUGAAAACAAAGCCAUGCCCAAGUUGCUCGCCGAAGAGAACAAGAUCAUGUCAAUGAACCGCAAUGACAUGGACGACCUCACCAAAACAUGGCAUGAUAUGGCAAGGAGAGAAAUCUUGAAGAGGAGAAUGGUUGUGUCGGCCAGUGCGUGUUACAGUUCCGAAGAUGUUUUCUCUGCUGGCAAUGUUGAUGAUUUCGGUGCGGGAGUUGGAAUAAGUGCCGGAGAUGGAUUCAGUGGUGGUGAUGAACUUUAAGAUGGACUCGAUGGCGUGGAGUGAAGAUCGACCAAGAUGAUGCCGGACGUGGUUGUCACAUUUGCAAGACCCUCUUUUGCGUUUGUCCUACUAAACUGAGGCUUUUAUUUGCGUGUAAACUGUGUUAUGUUGUUUGAAUUUGAACUUAUUUGUAGGCACCAAUGUCAAAUUUGAGAAUUGGGCGUUUUCUGUUUGCGGGUCGACGCGACGGUGCCCGUGCAGACACCGCAAAAGCCAACCCGUAAAAAAGUAUAUUCCCCGAAUAUCCUUUUAUACGGGUCCGUUUGGGGGGUCUGCAUCUGCGGCCGUGCGAGCCAGCCCGCAAAAGCCGUUUUCCACGAACUGCAAACGCGUUUUGCGGGCUGGCCGGAUGCGGGGUCUGGUAGAGUUGCUUGUCAGUACUUAAUCUGUUCAUAUCCAUAACCAAAAUAAUAGGUGCAGAUAAGCAUAUCUUAAUUAACCACCAUAAAAUGGGAUACUAAUAGGAUCCAGUGUAUCCCCUAUACUUAGCAAAACUAUAAAUUUAUACUAACAAACUAGAAUAAUAAUAAGCUUCGCGUCCACCCAUUUACCUGUUUUAAUGUUUCAAUAUAUGUUAUUAAUUGAUUCCACUUAGUAUAACCAGAGCAUGGCUGCUAUAAAGCACCCAACCUGUAUAGAUCUAUUGCACAUCCACAAAGAUAGAAAGCUACAGAUACAACCGCCGGAAACACAACUCCUAAGUAAACAAAAACUUCCUACAUAACAUAGUUUUUCUACAAAUCAGGGAUGAAGACUAUCCAGGUGGUGCUCAUAUGCCUUGUCCUUUCGGUGCUCUGUUCAGGUAUGUUUUUCUCCACCGCACUUGUAGGAAAUAUAUUUCGGCUUAUCCGUGCUCCUGCUCUCGGAACCCCGCAGGCAUCGCUGCUCGCUGUGCCCAGUACAACGUCUCCAAGGCAUGUCUAAGCAUAGCUUCAUGCACAGCAGUGUGCACCUAUAAAUAUAAGCCGGACACGGUUUAUGGUGUAUGUGCUGAUAACGGAUGCUGGUGCGUAGUCUGCGUGAUACCACCUGCAGCUCAACCUGCGUUUGCAGCCGAGAUUGCGCCUGCGGGGAAUUAAAGGAUAUCGCUUGCUUCCCUUUCUGCCUAAAUAGAAUAAAAGAGUGUCUGAUUAAUGUAUUUUUCUCGUACCGACAACAUUGUAUCGGUGUAUCAUGUAGCAAGGACCCGCGAGGCAAAAUAACAUCCUAUUAAUAUUGAGCGCUCUUUGG